rnacentral:rRNA from 1 species
CCUACGGGGGGCAGCAGUAGGGAAUAUUGCUCAAUGGGCGAAACUCUGAAGCAGCAACGCCGCGUGGAGGAUGAAGGUUUUCGGAUUGUAAACCCCUUUUUUUAGAGAAGAUAAUGACGGUACCUAACGAAUAAGCACCGGCUAAAACCGUGCCAGCAGCCGUGGGAAUACGGAGGGUGCAAGCGUUACUCGGAAUCACUGGGCGUAAAGAGCGCGUAGGCGGGGUAGCAAGUCAGGUGUGAAAUCCUAUGGCUUAACCAUAGAAGUGCAGUUGAAACUGUUAUUCUAGAGUAUGGGAGAGGUAGGUGGAAUGCUUGGUGUAGGGGUGAAAUCCGUAGAGAUCAAGAAGAAUACUCAUUGCGAAGGCAGCCUACUGGAACAUAACUGACGCUGAGGCGCGAAAGCGUGGGGAGCAAACAGGAUUAGAUACCCCAGUAGUC